GCACCAGCUAAAAUUCACGGCAAAUGUAACAAGGUCAAGAAUUUGCAGAAUGAAGCAGAUGAAAUAGAGUGAAGAAGAUUGGAGUGUGAAGAAUUUGAAGAUUGGUAGAAGAAGGUGUUGGCAGAAGAAGGUUAGAGUGAAGAAGAAUGGAGUGAAGCAGAUUGGAGUGAAGCCCUUGGAGUCACAAUGAGGAAGGUCUCGGAUAACACCACCUCAACUCCUCACCUGAAGUCUGUUGCUGCCAACAAUAUCGGGUGUUACUCAUGGCUUGAAAGAGAAGUUCAUGGCUGAACUGGAAUCGUGAAGUUCUGCCCCUGCAAACUCUUUUCCGGGUUGAGCCUCCGUCUGCAUAGCAGUGAUGACAAUGUCGGAAAUUGGUUUCUUGGCGGAAACUUCCGUGAUUGGAGCGUGUGUAGCAGCUAUUGCAGGGUAGUUUCUUUUCAUGUAGAUUCUCGCCUCUAUCAUUUGUUCAUCUAUCCUUCUUUCUUUUUUUCUAUUUUCUAUAUAUGAAUUUGGACUUAUGGUUGAUUCAGUUGGUAAUUGUUUAUUCCGGUGCAGGUUAAUGUUUGCUUAAUGAAGCCUGACUUGGGUUGCGCAUUGGAUUAAUGGGAUGCGUUAUAGCAAUGCUCAUUGACGGAGAGAAGAUCGUGGCAUUUGGUUGUUGAAAUGUAAUUGGAUGGAAUAGUAUAGUACUAUAGGUUUUCCCUUGUAGUUUGUGAAUGGUAAUGUAUUGUAACCGAAAAUUUCAAAAUAUGGAUUAGAAUUUGAACUUGAUUGUAAACGAAUGGUAAACAAAAUUGGUCUUAAUAACUAGUAAGAUGAAUGAUGAAUUGUAAUUGA